rnacentral:rRNA from 1 species
UUGGUAUCUUAGUGGCGGACGGGUGAGUAACGCGUGGGUAACCUGCCUUACACUGGGGGAUAACACUUAGAAAUAGGUGCUAAUACCGCAUAACAGGGAAAGAUGCAUGUCUUUCCUUGAAAAUCCGGUGGUGUAAGAUGGACCCGCGUCUGAUUAGCUGGUUGGCGGGGUAACGGCCCACCAAGGCGACGAUCAGUAGCCGGCCUGAGAGGGUGAACGGCCACAUUGGGACUGAGACACGGCCCAAACUCCUACGGGAGGCAGCAG